AUUCACUGCACUACUUUACUUUCUUGCUUUUCAGUUUGCAUAGAUCUAGAUGUUUCUUGUGUUUAUCCUAAACUGUAGAGUUAGCGUGUGUUGUGAAGUGAGAGUGAUGUGAUUUGUGAUUGCAGUUGCCAAGCAUUGACAUAAAUCCGCAAUUCAUCACUUUCACGCAUGUGACGAUGGAGUCCGAUAAGUAUAUAUGCGUUUGAGAAAUGGCUCCGCAGAAUAGUGUGGUUAUCAUUGAUAUGAACAUGUUGAAUCCAAAUUCCAGAAUCCUUGCUUUGAAAGUGAUCACACUCUUAAGGUGUAGAGUAUGGAUGGCCUCUCAGACAAUAUGACAAUGCCAAUUAAUUUAAAAGCAAAAGCUGUUGUUGCAGCUCAUGAUAAAGAUAUAAAUUCUGUAGCUGUUGCUCCAAAUGAUAGUUUAGUAUGUAGUGGUUCUCAGGAUCGUACAACUUGUGUUUGGAGACUUCCAGAUCUAGUAUCAGUAGUUGUAUUUAAAGGGCAUAAAAGAGGAAUUUGGUCAGUAGAAUUUUCUCCUGUUGAUCAAUGUGUAGUAACAGCAUCUGGUGAUAAGACAAUAAGGAUAUGGGCUAUAUCUGAUGGCUCCUGUUUGAAGACAUUUGAAGGACACACUUCAAGUGUGUUAAGAGCAUUGUUUGUUACUCGUGGAACACAAAUUGUUUCUUGUGGAAGAGGGAGUUGUGAAAGGUCAAGAGCUAGAGAAUGCUGUCUCAGAUGCUGACUAUACUAAAGCAAUCCAAAUCGCAUUUGAACUGCGCAGGCCUCAUAGGCUUUUUGAGCUAUUUGCAGAACUUUGCAGGAAGAGAGUGGCUGAAAAUCAUAUGGACAGAGCACUUAAGGGCUUGGGUGGUGAAGAGCUUCGUAUAUUAUUUAACUAUAUUUGAGAAUGGAAUACAAAACCAAAGCUUUGUUAUGUUUCUCAAUUCGUGCUUUUCAGAGUUUUCAGCAUCUUUCCUCCAAUAGAUAUUGUCCAAGUGCUUUUUUUACCCUUUUAAGUUGAGAGGUUUGGUGCUUCUAAUCAUGCAUUUCUUGCAUAUUAUGAUGGUUUUUAACUUCUUAUGGUUAUUGGUUUUGGCAUUCUGCUGUCUGUUUUAUGGCUACAUAUGCUGCCUCAAGUAUUUAGUUAGACUUUGAUAUUGAUUCUGUUAUUUGGCCAGAUGGUAACUGUGAAAAUGCAAGGUUUUGGUAACUCCCCAUCCCCUUGGUAUGACAUGAUUUUUUACUAAUCAUGAUUUUACUACUUGAUCAGGUAAAGCAAGGUUUAGGGGGUAGAGUACAUCUUAUUUUGUCUGGAGUCGCACCUUUAUCUGCACAUGUGGAAGGUUACUUAGAGAAGAUAUUGUAGACAUCUUUAUGGUCCUUGUACUAGAUUAUGGCCUUGAUGUCUUGUCACUCUAAUAGUGGAGGGCCACCUCUAGCCAAGGCCUAGGUAAUUAUGAACUUGGCAAAGCUAGUUGGAGUUGGAGCUGGAAGGAUCGUUGGAUUGCUGCACUGCCCACAUUCAAUUAUGUAUAGGUCAUUUUUCUUGUAGAUAGUGAAUAACUCAUCCUUUACCUCUAAGCGGGUUCAUGUGUCUUCAGCCAACGAUAGCAGCAUCUCUAGUGAUUCCUUGAGAUUCCUUCAGUUUUUUCCUUCGACUGCUUCGAUAGAGUUCCCAAACGUCAGAGAGACGGAGAAGGGAUUGAAGCCUAUAUUUGUAUUAUCUUCAUACGAUUCCUUUUUCUCCCUCCACGAAAAUUAUCUCGCAAAUCCCAACGGUGAAAGCGUGGGAAAUUGAAUUUCGAACAACAUAUCCAAUUUUCACUACAAUCCAACGGUUAACGAAACCAAGAUCCUAGUUUUAUCAAGACAGCUCUCGGUUUCUGCGGGAAAGAAAAAUGCUACAAUGCGAAAGGAAUUUCUCUCAGCUCAAACACGAUAUCAAAACUCCCAACGGUGAGAAUGCUCGGAAUUGGGUUGCGAACCUAGUGCUAAAAUUUCACGACGAUCCAACGGUGAAUGAGUCUGAUAUCGUCAUUUUUCUGAGAUAAGUUUGAUGGGCUGCGAGAAA